rnacentral:rRNA from 1 species
AAUGGGUCAGCGACUUAUAUUCUGUAGCAAGGUUAACCGAAUAGGGGAGCCGAAGGGAAACCGAGUCUUAACUGGGCGUUAAGUUGCAGGGUAUAGACCCGAAACCCGGUGAUCUAGCCAUGGGCAGGUUGAAGGUUGGGUAACACUAACUGGAGGACCGAACCGACUAAUGUUGAAAAAUUAGCGGAUGACUUGUGGCUGGGGGUGAAAGGCCAAUCAAACCGGGAGAUAGCUGGUUCUCCCCGAAAGCUAUUUAGGUAGCGCCUCGUGAAUUCAUCUCCGGGGGUAGAGCACUGUUUCGGCAAGGGGGUCAUCCCGACUUACCAACCCGAUGCAAACUGCGAAUACCGGAGAAUGUUAUCACGGGAGACACACGGCGGGUGCUAACGUCCGUCGUGAAGAGGGAAACAACCCAGACCGCCAGCUAAGGUCCCAAAGUCAUGGUUAAGUGGGAAACGA